rnacentral:rRNA from 1 species
UACGGGGGGGGCAAGCGUUGUUCGGAAUUACUGGGCGUAAAGGGCUCGUAGGCGGCCAACUAAGUCAGACGUGAAAUCCCUCGGCUUAACCGGGGAACUGCGUCUGAUACUGGAUGGCUUGAAUCCGGGAGAGGGAUGCGGAAUUCCAGGUGUAGCGGUGAAAUGCGUAGAUAUCUGGAGGAACACCGGUGGCGAAGGCGGCAUCCUGGACCGGCAUUGACGCUGAGGAGCGAAAGCCAGGUGAGCAAACGGG